UACGUAGGUGGCAAGCGUUGUCCGGAUUUACUGGGCGUAAAGAGCGCGCAGGCGGUCGUGCAAGUCGCGUGUGAAAGCCCCCGGCUCAACUGGGGAGGGUCACGCGAUACUGCUCGACUUGAAGGCAGGAGAGGGAAGUGGAAUUCCCGGUGGUAGUGGUGGAAAUGCGUAGAUAUCGGGAGGAACACCAGUGGCGAAGG
rnacentral:rRNA from 1 species